rnacentral:lncRNA from 1 species
CAGUGUCCCUACAGCCACUGCUUAGGCAGAGCUAAUGGGUGGUGGGAGAGAGUAGUUAACAGAGCUCUCACUGCCUGCUGACCCCUCUCUUUGGAGUUGACUUGCCCUCUCUUGUUGAGGCUCGGCAACAGCCCUGUGUAGGUUCCAGAUACAUGUGUUUCCCUUACAAAGAAUAGUUGACCGUGUUCAUCUUUUCUUUGUUCCCACUCUGUUUCUCCAUUCUCUGGCUGGCUGUGAUUCUAUAAUUCUUUCUGAUUCAUUCCAGCACAGUUUGCUGCUUUUCUGAAACAAAACAUGCUGGUGAGGAAAGCUUUUCCUCCCGGCACCUCCUCCUGUCUCUUUGGUGAGUAUCGCUUUCACCUGCUCGCUUACCUAGGCUUGCACUCUCCUCCCAGCCUGCCUACCUCUCAGUGUUCCCUGCUCUCCACUCUAUGUCUUCUCUUUCUCUCUCACAGCUCCCUGUACGUGCUCCCUUGCUUGUAUUCUUCCUGUUGGUUUCUCAUGGUGGUGUGUCUUGCUUUCUUACUUUUUUCUGCCGUGCUUCUUGGCUCUGAGUCUCUCUGUGGCCUGCUUCCUUCAUGUGAGCCUGCAUUUCCUUGUCUGUUUUCUCUCUGCCGUGGUUGUUUCCAUCCUGAUUACCGCAAGUACAAGAACCACUUAGAGCAUUCCUCUGUCUGAGGCUGGCACACUCAU